rnacentral:lncRNA from 1 species
CCAAAACAACAUCUUGAAAAAUUAGUUAUAUGCUUAGCAUUAGAAUAGUCCUUAUAUUUUCAAAUCCAUUAGACUGGAAUACUGUUAGACUGAGAAAAUGCAAUUUGGAGCUACACAAGCAGUUUCAAAGUAGGGCAGGAAGUAUCAUGGAAAACCUAAAAUACAGAUAUGAUUGCCAACCAGGAAACUUUGGAAUUUGUGACACUGGAAAGAGUGAGAGACCACACAUGGGGUUGGAGAGAUGAAAGAAUCAGGUGAGAUUUAGAGUCUGGCAACAUGUAAAGCAUAGAUAGUCACAGCCUCUAAGCUAUGAUCCUGCUAAAGCAUGUUGAUUCCUUGUCACUCCUUAUCAUUUUAGUCUUACACCAUUAUAUUUACUCUUUCUCUUUUUCUUAGCUGUAGCGUAAUGGUCAUUACUGUAAUAUCCUAAGAAUACUCAGCAGAUAUGACUCACUGCAUGGCUCUUUGGAGAACACGGGUCCCAACAGUCUUCUCGCUGGUGAAGCACUGAGGCACUUCCCACGCAGCUGUCUGUCUGAUCUUUGUCCAUAAUGGCCUUCUGAUGGAUGUGUCUAGGGACACACAGACCUGCAGAGAAACCCAGGAAGGGACUGAAGAGAUGGGUGGUGCAUUAAGUAGGCCCUUUUGUUGAUGCAGUGGCCUGCUUUUAGAGUGUAUAGUCAACCCUGAAAAUAGAAAAGGGUUGUAAGGUCAAGUAAGAUAGAUUGUGGCCAUGCCAGCUGUCAGACAGUCUUCCAAGAUGUCUGUUAUUUAACCCUGAUAUUGAAUAUAUCAGGGGCUAAAACUGAUUAAAAAGCAUAUAAAAUGCCAUGGGCAAUUUAAUGGGGAAUAAAUAUGUAACAGCGACUUUCUCCUUUAUUUUUUGUAGCUUGCUCCUUAAUCACUCCAGUGACAAGAAACAUGUUUCAUCCUGCCCCUCAAAUGCUUUGCUCUACCAGACACCAUCUGCAUGAAUACGAUAUUCCCAAAGAAAUCUACUUACUGAGUGGUGUGAGGCAAGGAAACAGGAAUAUUAACAGAGAUGUGAAUGUUCAGCCAGCACAUAAACAUUGAUGGCUCCAGGAAAAAUGAUGGCAGAAAGGUGUAGAGAAGGAUUUGCUUCCUUUACUGAAGGCAGUGUUGCAUGUAAAAGAACAAAAUAUGCACAGUAUAUAUAAUGCAGUAUUUUCACCUGGAUAAAAUAUGACAAAUUCUUACAAACUACCAAUAAAGCACAGGCCCUAAAAUGGUAAAUUUAUGUGGUUUCUAGAAUGUAAUAUUGAGUCAGUGCUGUAGAACGGAUAUUUUGGCAUUUGGGAGAGAUAAUGACUAAUUUUUUUUUUUGAGUGAUAUUUCUAGGAAAAAAAAUAACCGAUGCAUAAAAAGUUCUAAAUUAUGACCUUUUUGGACUAGAUUUAAGAGAAUUAACAAGAAACCUUUGCUCAUCUUUGUUUCUCUUUUUUGACACCCAGGUUUGUUGUGCUGCAAAGAAAUAUUGUGGUACAUUGCACCUGUGAUAUAUCCACCCUAACAACGGAUGAGGAGAGAAGGAACAUUCAUGAUUUUGCAAUAAUGAGAUUGCUGAUCCACAACCUGCUGGCAAUUUCUGUACAGAGGAAAUAAAGUCAAAUAGAAUUGCCAAGGACCUCAUCUCCAUGCUGAUAACUGCGCAACUCCUCAGACACAUCCAUCCUCAGAUUACUCUUUCUGUUAUUAAAACUUUUAUUUUUAUGGCUAAAGUUGUGGUGAGUGGUCUUGUCCUCUGGGCAGUGAACUAUCUGUAGACUACACAUCUCCAUUUAUUUUGUCAGAUUUUAUGCAUUGGCAAUUUUUUUACUGACAAGACUCAGUCAAAUAUGAAAUUCAAACUGAUAGGUACCAAUUCUAAGAGAUUUUUUCCCUGUUUACCUUUAAUUGUUUUCUAAUUGAUACAAAUAACUAUGUGGAUGCUGCUUUAUAUCAAUUAGUCUCCAAAGAUUAGAGUCAGUUUAUACUGGAGUUAACCUACCACUGUCAAAUUGAAAUAGUGCUUAUACAAAGUCUCAUGACAGUAUAAAUUGGAUUUCAAUUGGAUUUUAAAUAAAUUGGUGCAUUUUCCUUUUGCAGACAAAUCUUUAUUUAAUAACACUACACAUGGUACACCAGAUAUGCAAAAAUUAACACUGAUGAGAUGUUGCAUAAAUGACCAGUGCUCACUGGUUUUCCUUGCUUGAGAGAUCAAGGGUUAAUCAAGGAAACAGGAGGAAGAGUGAAUCAUGCAGGGACUAGAAUGUCUUAUCAGCUGUGACCUGCUCAGCUGCUGAGACACGGAAGAAACAAGGAAGUGAUUUAUAGGUUAUGGCAGUUCAAGACUCACUCUUCAGGAUUUGUUGGAGAAUCAUGAUACUUUUCACCGUGCUCAUCUCUGUCUUGCAAUGCUCCUCAUUUGGGAACUUCCUAUUAGUGGGCUGUUUUCCAUUAGCAUGGCACAAGUUUCCCACUACAUACUGAAAAAAAAAAAAAAAAAAUCCCUUACCUGUCUAUGUCCAUACAGGUUUCUGUAAAUUAUACUGUUGCUAUGAACAAAUAUAUUUAACCCUAGCAAUUUGCAAGCGUACUGAUACAGAGCUAUUAAAGCACCAUUUAUAAGUUGAGAAGGCCUGUCUGCUACUAUUUACAAGUUUGUCUUCCAUUCAACUUCAGUAUUUAGCUUAGAAAUAGAUAGAAUAAAACAAAGUAAAGCAGAUAUGAGUAAGUCACAAGGACUGUGCUUGAUAUGGAGGUCUGUGUCUCUGGGAAAUAUAUUAUGAUGGAUAGUUACUUUUAUAAUCUUUUUGUAUGUCAUUUGAAUGUCAUAAAUAUCUGUCAGAUUUCCUAAAAAAAUAAGUCUUUCUUCAGACAUUACCAGAUACAGAGGAUAUCAUUCAGUUUUCUCACUGAAAGCAAGAAUAAUUUAAAUUGAUCUGUCUCUGCGAACAAUGACCACUGAAAAAGUCUAUAUACCAGGCAUUCUAGCCAGUCACCAAUAAAUGGCAUGUAAACUAAAAAAGAUAGUGUGAGACAUCUAAGUUCUUCUAAAGGUGAAUGUGUACUAUUUUAUUAGGUCUGUUAAAACCUUCAAUACAAAUAGGAAAAGUUAAUUACUUUGCUCUCAUUAUACUAUAUGUACCAUUGCAGUUUUCUUCUAAUCCAGCUUCCUACUCCUAACAACUCUUUAAAGAUAAGAUUCUAAAAGAAAAUAUUUGAUUAUUGAUGCUUCUAGCCAUUUAUUUAAAGACAAGCAUUAGAACUAUUGAAUUAUGCCACCUUCAAUAAAACCUGCAUCUGCAAGUUUAUGUGCUGUGCACUGAAGACAGAGUUUUCCUGGCUAUCAAACUGCCAGGCACACGACUGUCUGCAACCAGUUUCAGGCAAUUGCAGAGACAUUCAGAGAAUGGGUAUAUCUGUCCUAGGCACAACAUGAAACAGAUUAAUCAUAUUUACACACAUGACAUAGACAUGAAGACACUGCACAGAAAAAUU